CCUACGGGAGGCAGCAGUGAGGAAUAUUGGUCAAUGGGCGGGAGCCUGAACCAGCCAAGUCGCGUGAGGGAAGACGGUCCUACGGAUUGUAAACCUCUUUUGCCGGGGAGCAACGGGGUCCUUGUGAGGGCCCGAUGAGAGUACCCGGAGAAACAGCAUCGGCUAACUCCGUGCCAGCAGCCGCGGUAAUACGGAGGAUGCGAGCGUUAUCCGGAUUUAUUGGGUUUAAGGGGUGCGUAGGCGGGCUGUUAAGUCAGCGGUAAAAUGUCGGGGCUCAACCCCGGCCUGCCGUUGAAACUGGCGGCCUUGAGUGGGCGAGAAGUAUGCGGAAUGCGUGGUGUAGCGGUGAAAUGCAUAGAUAUCACGCAGAACUCCGAUUGCGAAGGCAGCAUACCGGCGCCCUACUGACGCUGAGGCACGAAAGCGUGGGUAUCGAACAGGAUUAGAUACCCCAGUAGUC
rnacentral:rRNA from 1 species